rnacentral:misc_RNA from 1 species
UUUCCGUAGGUGAACCUGCGGAAGGAUCAUUAAUGAGAACUAAGGGUAGUAGUCUCGGCUACUACUCUGAACACUCCACCCUUUGUUUAUAUUACCUUUGUUGCUUUAGCAGGCCCGCUCUCGAGCCGCCGGCACCUGCUGGCUAGUGCCUGCUAAAGAACCUAAAACUCUUGUUAAUAAUAUUGUCUGAGUACUAUAUAAUAGUUAAAACUUUCAACAACGGAUCUCUUGGUUCUG